GGUAACAGGAAGCAGCUUGCUGCUUCGCUGACGAGUGGCGGACGGGUGAGUAAUGUCUGGGAAACUGCCUGAUGGAGGGGGAUAACUACUGGAAACGGUAGCUAAUACCGCAUAACGUCGCAAGACCAAAGAGGGGGACCUUCGGGCCUCUUGCCAUCAGAUGUGCCCAGAUGGGAUUAGCUAGUAGGUGGGGUAACGGCUCACCUAGGCGACGAUCCCUAGCUGGUCUGAGAGGAUGACCAGCCACACUGGAACUGAGACACGGUCCAGACUCCUACGGGAGGCAGCAGUGGGGAAUAUUGCACAAUGGGCGCAAGCCUGAUGCAGCCAUGCCGCGUGUAUGAAGAAGGCCUUCGGGUUGUAAAGUACUUUCAGCGGGGAGGAAGGCGAUGCGGUUAAUAACCGCGUCGAUUGACGUUACCCGCAGAAGAAGCACCGGCUAACUCCGUGCCAGCAGCCGCGGUAAUACGGAGGGUGCAAGCGUUAAUCGGAAUUACUGGGCGUAAAGCGCACGCAGGCGGUCUGUCAAGUCGGAUGUGAAAUCCCCGGGCUCAACCUGGGAACUGCAUCCGAAACUGGCAGGCUUGAGUCUCGUAGAGGGGGGUAGAAUUCCAGGUGUAGCGGUGAAAUGCGUACAGAUCUGGAGGAAUACCGGUGGCGAAGGCGGCCCCCUGGACGAA
rnacentral:rRNA from 1 species